UACAGAGGGUGCAAGCGUUAAUCGGAAUUACUGGGCGUAAAGCGCGCGUAGGUGGUUUGUUAAGUUGGAUGUGAAAUCCCCGGGCUCAACCUGGGAACUGCAUUCAAAACUGACAAGCUAGAGUAUGGUAGAGGGCAGUGGAAUUUCCGGUGUAGCGGUGAAAUGCGUAGAGAUCGGAAGGAACACCAGUGGCGAAGGCGACUGCCUGGACCAAUACUGACGCUGAGGUGCGAAAGCGUGGGGAGCAAACAGGAUUAGAAACCCCUGUAGU
rnacentral:rRNA from 1 species